CUGCAGGUGGCGCUCCCGGGUUUGCUUUGCCCUCGCAGCCCCCACGAACACGCACUAACUUCAUGCGGGGAGCCAAAGAGGAAGAGUUCUGCAGCCUAACGGGAACAGCUAAAGACGGUGGGACUUUCAGGUGGUUUCAGCUGGCGCAGCCUUGGGCUUUCUUCGGGAAGAGUUUAGCAAAAAGGGGGGGGGAGGCAAGAAAAAAAGGAAGAAAGAAGAGGAAAAGAAAGAGAAAAAAGAAAACAACCCAACCCCAAACACAACCCCGGCUCCGACCUGUCAGGGUUGGUUGCUUUUCCGUCUGCCUCUAAAUGAACCUUUUCUCUCUGGCGUUUUCAAAGCGGCCCUUCCACCCUCCAACCUAGGGGCAUUUACACUUCAAACAAGGUUCCCGCCUCCCUGCGGAAAUUUAAAGGCAAAUAAACUUUUGGGGAGUUGCUCUGA